rnacentral:rRNA from 1 species
GACGAACGCUGGCGGCGUGCCUAAUACAUGCAAGUCGAACGAAGCUGUUUUAACUGGUGCUUGCACCGACUUAAACAACUGAGUGGCGAACGGGUGAGUAACACGUGGGUAACCUGCCCCAAAGCGGGGGAUAACAUUUGGAAACAGAUGCUAAUACCGCAUAACCACAGAAACCACAUGGUUUCUGUGUCAAAGAUGGUUUCGGCUAUCACUUUGGGAUGGACCCGCGGCGUAUUAGCUAGUUGGUAAGGUAAUGGCUUACCAAGGCAAUGAUACGUAGCCGAACUGAGAGGUUGAUCGGCCACAUUGGAACGGAGACACGGCCCAAGCUCCUACGGGAGGCAGCAGUAGGGAAUCUUCCACAAUGGACGAAAGUCUGAUGGAGCAACGCCGCGUGAGUGAAGAAGGUUUUCGGAUCGUAAAACUCUGUUGUCAGAGAAGAACGUGUGCGAGAGUAACUGUUCGUGCAGUGACGGUAUCUGGCCAGAAAGCCACGGCUAACUACGUGCCAGCCGCCGCCGUAA